UGUUGAUUGCAGACAUUUAUAUUCUAGAACUUAGCAUGUUCCUUUAUUUGAAGAAAACUACUGCUUUGUUAUGAUGUGGUUAAAAAACCAGAAUUAUUAGAAGGAUUUACUGGAAAUCGCCAGACAGGAAACAGAAACCAAAAGUAAAUCUAGAGCAGUGAAUAUAAGACUGCAGCCAGCAAGUCACUACAGCACAGACAGCAGGUCAGAGCAAGAGGAGGAGAAAGAAAGCUGUCAAUCAAGACAUUUUUGCAACCUAAAUUCAAAUUUGCACCGAUUCUCCUUUGGGACUGAUUGCAAGACUGCAGCCAGCAAGAACAAGAUUAAAAAACAAAAAACAAACAACAGCUGAGAAAGCAACUCAAAACAAGGAAACGAGACAGAAAACGCACAAUCAAGAUGUCUUCUCAUCCGACAUUCAUACUUCUUAGUGAAAAACCUUGGAGAGUCGUCCUGCUGGGAAAAACUGGAACAGGAAAAAGCAAGUUUGGUAAUGCCUUGAUUGGAGAAAACGUGUUUAAUGUGAAUAGUUCUCCAAACUCUGGUACAAGUAGAUGUCAGGCAGCCACUGAAGUUAAUGGAGAAAUCACAGUGGUUGACACUCCUGGUUUCUUUGACAACUGCAGAGAUAAAGUAGAUGUCAAACCUGAGAUAGUGAAGAGUAUCACAGAGUGCUCACCUGGACCUCAUGCAUUUCUCAUUGUCCUCAAAGUGGAGAAAUUCACUGAGCACGAGAGUCAGGUUAUUACUAAAAUAAAGGAGCUAUUUUCUGAAGAGGCUUUCAAAUAUGCUGUACUGGUCUUCACUCAUGGUGACCAGCUUGAUGAGGACAAGACGGUCAAAGAGUUUGUCGAUGACAACAAGGAUCUGAAAGAGCUUUCAGAUAAAUGUGGUGGCCGCUGUCAUGUUGUUGAUAAUAAAUACUGGAACAACAACCAGCCAGAGCAUUACAGAGACAACCAAUUCCAGAUCAGACAGCUGCUCUGCACAAUCAAUGAAAUGGUGGAGCAAAACGGAGGACGCUGCUACACCAAUGAGAUGCUGCUUGCAGUGGAGAAACAAAUCAGAGAAGAGGAGGAGCGAACCGGAUCCAGAGAGUUGGCAAAGAAAAAUGUCACCGACUUUUUCUUCAAGAAAUCAGCUGAUAUUGACCCAGAACAUUUACUAGGAGCUUCACUUGGCAAACCAGAAAAUGUUAAAAAGGUUCUUUCAGUAGUUUUUGGUCUCACUUGUGCUACUGCAGGGACAGUUCUUGGAGCAGCAGUUGGAGCAGCAGUUGGAGCAGUUGCAGGUCCUGCAGGGGCUGCUGCUGGAGCUGCUGCAGGGGCAAAAACUGGAGCUGCUGCAGGGGCAGCUGUUGGAGGUGCUGCAGGGGCUAUGGGAGGUUAUGUAGCUGGGGGGUGGAUGAAGCCAAAGGCUGAAUAAAUUGGAGACAUGAGAUAAGACAAAAACAACAAAAAAUCAAUUCAUCUUUAUUCACAGACACAUUAUGGAAUAUUUUUUUAGACUGCAGAUAUACUUUUUCUCUAAUGGUGGAUGAAACAUCUUUUAAGGGAACAACUUUUGAAAUUAGUCAAUGAUGGAAAUAGUCUGAAAAAAGGAAAGAAAAUGUAACAUUUGUCCCCAAUGUAAGAUUCGGUAUGAGUAUGAUAAGUAUUUCAUUUGGGUUCUUGACUAUCUAGAGAACUCCCUCUCUAAAUCAGAAGUUAGCUGAGCAUGUUCCAAAAACUUCUGUCAAUAUCUAUUGUUGAAGAUUAUUUCAAUCAAUUACUGUUGUUUAUUUUAAAUAUCAAUAUUGAUCAUUUCCCUGACAGAUUUGAUCAAAGGAUAUUUUGUUUGAAUUCAGCUUUUUGUUUACUUCUUUUUCUUGGAAACUGCUUUGUAAAUGUAACAGAUGAUUGUUUUCAUUUACUUUGCGUAUUGAUUGUGUGUACUUGAGUUUAUCUACAAAUCAUUUGAUUUCAUUUUCUAGUUUUCUGAAAUUGUAAUUACAAAGUCUCUGAAUGAAUUAAAAGAUGGAAAUAAGUUAGACCUUUGACAUCAUUUGAGGAAUAUUUUUAUUCUAUUUACGUCUUAUUGUACCAUAAUGAUGUUAUUUUCGCACAUACAUAAAAGAGCAUUGCAACAUUGUGAUCUGUUGUUUCUCAUUUAAAAUGUAAAGUUUCCAGCUCUACUUCCAAACCUUUUCAAAAUGAAAUCAAUAAAUCAGCUGAAAUCAUUUGUAUGGUUCUUGGUUAUAUUAUUUUCAGCAGUUACAUUAGUCAUGUAAGAUGAAGCAAAACCUCUUUGUAAUUAAACUAACUGAAACUAUUUGCAUUUCCACAAAUGUUUCAGUUGUUCUCCUCUAUUCGUCACUGAAAAUUCACUAGUCAGUCAUCACAUCAUGACUUUCAGCUACUUUAGCUCCUUCACUCAGGUUAGUGAAUUUAUCCCAUGAACUGUGUUGCAUUGCAUUUGUGGUGAAACCUGUUUAAAGUCAAGGAUCUAGAGAAAUGCUACACACCCUGUUAUGACACAUUAAUUGUUUUGUUCAAGUCAGUAAACCAACCAGUUGAAUGUGAAUAAACCUGCAAGCCACACUGACGCGAGCAACCAGGAAACACAGAAGGGAUUUUCUUUCAGUCUCAACAACUGAAAUCUCUUUUUGACAACAUACACGGUCAGUUCUAUCUAUCUAUUAUAUUAUAUUAUAUUAUAUUAUAUUAUAUUAUAAUGCUGCACUGAUGUUGAAAAAGAAAGCUAAAGAUGCUAAAGUGCCAGUAGGGAAACUCUACACAGGGCCUUACUUAUUACAGCAGCUCUACAUUACACCAACACAUUAAACUGUUUGCAGAAAAAAUUUUAGAAAAAAAAACAUCGAGCAAAACAAAUCAAGGUUCUAUAAAACCUUUUUUCAAUGGGAUCAAUAUCUGUUCUGUGUGUUUAUUGCUGCAGGUCUGAACUGGUCAGAAAUCACACAUCAGUCCACAAUGCUUGAAAAAUUACAACACAAUGUGUCAUAAUUUCAGUGAAAUGUGUUGAAACUGUUGACUCACAACAGUGUCUGUUGACCUUAAUUAAUUAAAUGCAACAUGCAUGCAUCUAUUCUAUUCUGCUAUAUUCUAAAGCCAGCCAGAACCUUCUUUUUUAAUUUUUUUUAUUUUCAAACUACUGUAUAUCUGCAUGUUUUUGUCACUUGGCUAUGAGUGUAUUAAACAACAAUAAGGAUGUUUUGGUGUCACAAGUUUUUGAUUUCUUUUUUCAUUUUUCUGCAAAGGUGGAUUUUAUUGACUUAAGCUGUCAAAUAAAGACUUCUGUUAAAUGGUGUUCGCUUAUACUUUCUAUUGAUUUAACAGCUGGCUAGCCCAAAGUGAUUUACAGUCAGUCAUUCAGUUUCCAGUGGGCGAAGUUUGUGGUUCAGUCUCUUGUUUAAGGCACGUUUAUUUGCACAGCACCAUUCUCACACAAGACAAUUCAAAGUGCUUCACAAAGGUAAAGAAAUAUAUGAAAUCAUAAAAUAAAUAUUUAGAAAAUAAGAGACCAUUUUCAAGACAAAAGGCAUUUAAAAUAACUAUUUGAGAGCAGAAUUGUGUCCAGAGCAUUCAUUUCAGUAUUUUACAUUUCAGCCAAAAGAGUGUUGAUUGCAGACAUUUAUAUUAUAGAAGUCUCUCAACAUUUCUCUUUAUACCAAGAAAACUACUAUGAGGUAGCUUAAAAAAAAAAAUAAAAAAAGAUUGUUAGAAAGAUUGUCCGGAAAUUGCCUUACAAGAAACAGAAACCAAAAGCAAAUCCAGUUCAGUAAAUAUAAGACUGCAGUUACAACAGCACAGACAGCAGGUCAGAGCAAGAGGAGGAGGAAUAAAGCUCUCAAUCGACCAAUUUCCUCAACCUACAUUCAACUUUGAACCGCUUCAUCUUUUCGACUGAAUGGAAGACUGCAGCCAGCAAGAACAAGAUUAAAAUAACAAACUCACCACAACUGACAAAGCAAAUUCGAACAAGAGGAAAAGUAAGAAAAUUCACAAUCAAGAUGUCUUCUCAACCUACAUCCCGACUUGCACCAAUUCCUCUUUCAGACAGAAGGGAAGCAACACCUCUGAGAGUCGUCCUGCUGGGAAAAACUGGAACAGGAAAAAGCAAGUUUGGCAAUGCCUUGAUUGAAGAAAAUGUGUUUAAGGUGAAUAGUUCUGCAAACUCUGGUACAGGUAAAUGUCAGGCAGCCACCAAAAGAAAUGGUGAACUCAUAGUGGUUGAUACUCCUGGUUUCUUUGACACCAGCAGAGAUGAAGCAAAUCUAAUUCCUGACAUAGGGAAGAGUAUCACAGAGUGCUCACCUGGACCUCAUGCUUUUCUCAUUUUCCUCAAAGUGGAGAAAUACACUGAGCAUGAGAAGCAGAUUAUUACCAAAAUAAGAAAGUUAUUUUCUGAAGAGGCUUUUAAAUAUGCUGUGCUGGUCUUCACUCAUGGUGACGACCUUGGUGAGGGUGAGACAAUCCAAGAGUUUGUCAGUGAAAAUGAGGAUCUGAAAGAGCUUUCAGAUAAAUGUGGUGGCCGCUGUCAUGUUGUUGAUAAUAAAUACUGGGAAAAAACACCGCCAGAGCAAUACAGAAACAACCAGUUCCAGAUCAAACAGCUAUUCUCCACGAUCAAUGAAAUGGUGGAGCAAAACGGAGGAGGCUGCUACACCAAUAAGUUCCUGCAAACAGUGGAGAGAAUCAUCAGAGAAGAGACGAAGCGAACCGGAUCCAGAGAGAAGGCAAAGGAAAGUUUCUUGGAGUUUUUCAUCAAGAAAGCAGUUGCUUUUGUCCUAAAAGUUUUACUGGGAGUUUUUCUGGGUGGUACUGCAGGUGCUUCUUUUGAAGCAGCUUUUACAGAUUUUAGAGAAGCAGGUCAUGGACGUUCUGGGGGAUAUGAACGCUUUCCAACAGACUCACAUGAGGAGGAUGAAGGGAGUACAACUGAAACAAUGUGUGAAUCAUUGAACAGACAGAGAAAGCCAAAGGCUCAAUAGAUGAGCAGAAAAAAAAACUUUCAGUUAAUCUUUAUUCACAGACACAUGAUAAAAAUGUGUUUUUUAUAUUCCAGAUAUACCUUUCUCUUUAAUUAUGGGUGAAACACAUUUUCAGAUCACAACCUUUGAAAUGAUUCAAUUAUAGUCUGAAAAAAGGACAGGAAAUGUUAGGUGUUUACACAGUGUAAGACUCGGUUUAGUUAGUGUAAAAUCUCAAUAUAGGAGGAGUUAAGGAUUUUUUAAAAAAUCAUUAUAAAACAAUGUUGAGAUGUCAAACUUUGCAUACAUUAAUAUUUGAUCAAUGAUCACUGGGGAUGAGUGGAUAUUUCUAAAUUUGAUGAUAGAGAGUACUGAAAAUGACACUUUUUGAAUUUCUUUAAAAAUGUUUUGAUUGAAUUCACUUUAACAAAUCAGUGUGUGUCCACUUCCUCUGUAGAUCAGGAGUUAACUGAACAUGUUAUAUAACUUCUGUUAGUUUAAUGAUGUACGUUAUUCAAUCAAUUACUAUUGUUUAUCUUAAAUAUCAAUACUGAUCAUUGUCCUAACAGAUUUUAACCAACAAUAUUUUUUUCGAAUCCAGUUUUUUGUAUUUUUCUUAUAAACUGCUUUGUAAAUGUAACACAUGAUUGUUUUCAUUCACUUUGUGUAUCGAUUGUGUGUACUUGAGUUGAUCUACAAAUCGCUUGAUUUCAUUUUCUUCUUUUCUGAAACUGCUAACACAAAGUCUCUGAAUGAAUGAAAAGAUGGAAAAAAGUUUGACAUUUGACAUGAGGAUUGUUUGAGGAUUAUUUUCUCUUUAUUUUCUUCUUAUUGUACCAUGAUGUUGUUAUUUUCACACAUGCAUAAAAAAGCAUUGUAACAUUAUGAUCUGUUGUUUCUCAUAUAAAAUGUAAAGUUUCCAGCUCUACAUCCAAACCUUUUCAAAAUAAAAUCAAUAAAUCAGCUGAAAUCAU